GGGUUGGUAGAGUUUUAGCGUUAGAUGGGAUUUAUGGUUAGGUUUAGGUAGGAUUAAUAGGGUUUAGGGUUAGGCAAGGUUUAGGGUUAACAGGAUUUAGGGUUAGGUAGGGUUUAGGGUUAGAAAGGAUUUAGGGUUAGGUAGGGAGUUAAGCAGGGUUUAGGGUUAAAAAGGAUUUAGGGUUAGGUAGGGUUUAGGGUUAAAAAUGGUUUAGGGUUGGUAGCGUCUAGGGCUAGGUAGAGUUUAGGGUUAGGUAGGGUUUAGGGUUAUGUAGGGUUUAGGGUUAGAAGGGGUUAGGUAGGGUUUAGGAUUAGGUAGGGUUUAGGGUUAUGUAGGGCUUAGGGUUAGUAGGGUUUAGGGUUAAUAGGGUUAGAAGGGGUUUAGGGUUAGGUAGGGUUUAAGGUUAAAAAGGGUUUAGGGUAGGUAGGGUUUAGGGUUAGGUAGGGUUUAGGGUUUGGUAGGGUUUAGAAUUAGGUAGGGUAUAGGGUUAGGUAGGGUUUAGGGUUACGUAGGGUUUAGGGUUAGUAGGGUUUAAGGUUAGUAGGGUUUUGGGUUAGGUAGGGUUUAGGGUUAGUAGGGUUUUGGGUUAGGUAGGGUUUAGGGCUAGAAAUGGUUUAGGGUUAGAAAGGUUUUAGGUUAGGUAGGGUUUAGGUUAGGUAGGGUUAGUAGGGUUUAUGGUUAUGUAGGGGUAGGGUUAGGUAGGGUUUAGGGUUAUUAGGGUUUAGGGUUAGGUAGAGUUUAGGAUAGGUAGGGUUUAGGGUAAGGGUUAGGUAGGGUUUAGGGUUAGGUUUUAGGUAGGGGUUUAGGGUUAGGAAAGGUUUAGGGUUAGGUAGGGUUUAGGGUUAGUUAGGGUUUAGGGUUAAAUAGGGUUUAGGGUUAGGUAGGGUUUACGUUUAGGGUUAGGUAGGUUUAGGGUUUAGGUAGUAUGAAGGGUUUAGGGAUUAGGGUUAGGUUUAUGUAGGGUUUAGGGUUAGAUAGGGUUAAGGUCUAGGUUUAGAUAGGGUGUAGGGUUAGGUAGGAUUUAGUGUUUAGGUAGUAUGAAAGGUUUAGCGUUGGGUUUAAGGUUUGGUUUAAAAUAAUGUUUAGGAUUAUAGGGUUUGGGGUUUUUUUGUUUUUUUGUUUAUACAUUUAGUAUUGAGUUUUUUCGAUAAAAUUUUAUAGUAAUAUUAUU
rnacentral:lncRNA from 1 species